rnacentral:rRNA from 1 species
GACGAACGCUGGCGGCGUGCUUAACACAUGCAAGUCGAACGGUGAAGGAGAGCUUGCUCUCCGGAUCAGUGGCGAACGGGUGAGUAACACGUGGGCAACCUGCCCCAGACUUCGGGAUAACGCUUCGAAAGGAGUGCUAAUACCGGAUACGAACUCCUUGGGCAUCCUUGGAGUUGGAAAGUUUUUCGGUCUGGGAUGGGCCCGCGGCCUAUCAGCUUGUUGGUGAGGUAACGGCUCACCAAGGCGACGACGGGUAGCCGGCCUGAGAGGGCGACCGGCCACACGGGGACUGAGACACGGCCCAGACUCCUACGGGAGGCAGCAGUGGGGAAUAUUGCGCAAUGGGCGAAAGCCUGACGCAGCAACGCCGCGUGAGGGAUGACGGCCUUCGGGUUGUAAACCUUUUUCAGCAGGGAAGAAGCGAAAGUGACGGUACCUGCAGAAGAAGCACCGGCUAACUACGUGCCAGCCGCCGCAGUAAGAC